AUGGCGACCACUGUGGCGAGACUCCUGCUCGCGGUGACCAUGGUUUUUCUCCUCGCCGCGCCCGCGGCGAGUGGUGGCACCAUCACCAUGUCGUUCGCCUCGGAGGAGGUCACGUCGGAGGAGGCCCUCCUCUCUUUGUACGAGCGGUGGGCGCAACACUUCGGAAAGGCUCUCCCAAGCGGAGGAGCACUUGGCAGCACCCGCUUCGCCGUCUUCGCGGAGAGUGUCCGGCUCGCGCACCAGCGUGGCCCGGGAAAACUCAAGCUCAACGAGUUCGCUGACACCGCCCUCAAUAACGACCACAACAUCCGCUGCUACAUUCCGAUGGCGCAAGCCGUCGUCCCAGAGGGCCAGCGGAGAAAAUACCCAGAUCCACCGUUGUCCGCGGACUGGCGCUCCGCGGGCGCCGUGACGCCGGUGAUGGAUCAAGGGACGCACUGUGGAAGCUGCUGGGCUUUUGCAACCGCAUCGGCCAUCGAAGGCCUUUACAAGAUCGAGCACGGGGACCUGAUCUCGCUAUCGCCCCAACAGCUCGUAGACUGCGACGGCAGCAACAGGCACUGUGGAGGUGGCACCCCGGCCGAGGCAUUCCAAACCAUUUCACUUGGUGAUGGCAUCUCGCGAUGGGCGGACUAUCCGUACAAAGGUGUUAAGGGCUGGUGCUACCCGGCCCGCAAAGGCGUGGGCAUCAGGGGCUGGGAGCGUGUGGAGCCGCGGGACGAGACGGCGCUCAUGUGGGCGGUGUUCAAGCGCCCCGUCACGGUAGGGGUCGACGCCAACAGCACGGCCUUUAUGCAAUACCGCGGUGGCCUCUUCGACGGGCCCUGCAAUACCACUCUCGGCCACGCCAUGACCCUGGUUGGGUAUGGAACUACCGGACACAGCGACCCUUACGGCGAGCCGGAGGGAGUCGACUAUUGGCUCCUCAAAAAUACCUGGUCCACGGCGUGGGGCGAAGCCGGCUAUAUGCGGCUCCGGCGCGGUGCCGAGGCCAAAGGUGGGGUGUGCGGGGUAAUGCUCGAGGCCACCUAUCCGAUCCAUUCCUAUGCGCUAUUUUAA
rnacentral:rRNA from 1 species